CCUACGGGAGGCUGCAGUGGGGAAUAUUGGGCAAUGGGCGCAAGCCUGACCCAGCAACGCCGCGUGAAGGAAGAAGGCUUUCGGGUUGUAAACUUCUUUUAUCAGGGACGAAGCAAGUGACGGUACCUGAUGAAUAAGCCACGGCUAACUACGUGCCAGCAUCCGCGGUAAUACGUAGGUGGCAAGCGUUAUCCGGAUUUACUGGGUGUACAGGGCGAGUAGGCGGGAAAGCAAGUGAGAUGUGAAACCCAUGGGCUCAACCUGUGGCCUGCAUUUGAAACUGUUGUUCUUGAGUACUGGAGAGGCAGACGGAAUUCCUAGUGUAGCGGUGAAAUGCGUAGAUAUUAGGAGGAACACCAGGGGCGAAGGCGGUCUGCUGGACAGCAACUGACGCUGAGGCGCGAAAGCGUGGGGAGCAAACAGGAUUAGAUACCCGAGUAGUC
rnacentral:rRNA from 1 species